rnacentral:rRNA from 1 species
UACGUAGGUGGCAAGCGUUGUCCGGAUUUAUUGGGCGUAAAGAGCGUGUAGGCGGCUUUACAGGUCCGUUGUGAAAACUCGAGGCUCAACCUCGAGACGCCGGUGGAAACCGUAAAGCUAGAGUCCGGAAGAGGAGAGUGGAAUUCCUGGUGUAGCGGUGAAAUGCGCAGAUAUCAGGAAGAACACCCGUGGCGAAGGCGGCUCUCUGGGACGGUACUGACGCUGAGACGCGAAAGCGUGGGGAGCGAACAGG